CCAGAUGUCGCCCCCAAACAGGUGGGCCAGCUGCAAAGCUUUCAAAUGAAUCGUUCCAAUGCAGAGGAAGCCAAGUCAAAGCGUGGUGCGUGGAGGCCCAGGCAGAACUCACACCUUCACUGAAGGUGGGGACCAGAACUGAAACUAACUUCCAGGGCCAGGCUUUGGUUGAAGACCAUUUAACCAAAAGCAACUUGCCUUUUAGAUGCAGAGGUCUAUAAAGCUGUGGUUGGAGAUUUGAGAGAAAGCACGCAACGACACGAGACCAAGAUGAUGUAAGGUGGUG
rnacentral:lncRNA from 1 species